rnacentral:rRNA from 1 species
AGCGAACGCUGGCGGCAGGCCUAACACAUGCCAGUCGAACGAACCUUUCGGGGUUAGUGGCGGACGGGUGAGUAACACGUGGGAACGUGCCUUUAGGUUCGGAAUAACUCAGGGAAACUUGUGCUAAUACCGAAUGUGCCCUUCGGGGGAAAGAUUUAUCGCCUUUAGAGCGUCCCGCGUCUGAUUAGCUAGUUGGUUGAGGUAAUGGCUCACCAAGGCGACGAUCAGUAGCUGGUCUGAGAGGAUGAUCAGCCACAUUGGGACUGAGACACGGCCCAAACUCCUACGGGAGGCAGCAGUGGGGAAUCUUGCGCAAUGGGCGAAAGCCUGACGCAGCCAUGCCGGGUGAAUGAUGAAGGUCUUAGGAUUGUAAAAUUCUUUCAACGGGGACGAUAAUGACGGUACCCGGAGAAGAAGCCCCGGCUAACUUCGUG